rnacentral:misc_RNA from 1 species
UUUCGCAUUGUUUUUUCGCUCAGACUCAUUGCAAGCAAGAUUUUAAAGCCUCUGGCGGGCGCUCACCAGCCGGGGCCGGUGGCAGCAGGGCCGCGGCCCGCCAAAGCAACAGUAUUGGUAGUCAAGGGGUGGAGAUGGCUCCCGGAGGAGUGCAACUCUGUAAUGAUCCUUCCGCAGGUUCACCUACGAAAA